rnacentral:rRNA from 1 species
UCGAACGCGAAAGGGGGGCAACCCCUUAGUAGAGUGGCGAACGGGUGAGUAAUACAUCGGAACGUACCCAGUAGCGGGGGAUAACCUCUCGAAAGAGAGGCUAAUACCGCAUACGACCUACGGGUGAAAGAGGGGGAUCGCAAGACCUCUCACUAUUGGAGCGGCCGAUGUCGGAUUAGCUAGUUGGUGGGGUAAAAGCCUACCAAGGCGACGAUCCGUAGCUGGUCUGAGAGGACGGCCAGCCACACUGGAACUGAGACACGGUCCAGACUCCUACGGGAGGCAGCAGUGGGGAAUUUUGGACAAUGGGCGAAAGCCUGAUCCAGCCAUGCCGCGUGAGUGAAGAAGGCCUUCGGGUUGUAAAGCUCUUUCGGCUGGGACGAAAAGGUCCGUGCUAACACCACGGAUCCAUGACGGUACCAGCAGAAGAAGCACCGGCUAACUACGUGCCAGCAGCCGCGGUAAUACGUAGGGUGCAGGCGUUAAUCGGAAUUACUGGGCGUAAAGCGUGCGCAGGCGGUUUGCUAAGACAGGUGUGAAAUCCCCGGGCUUAACCUGGGAACUGCGCUUGUAACUGGCAAGCUGGAGUGUGGCAGAGGGGGGUGGAAUUCCACGUGUAGCAGUGAAAUGCGUAGAGAUGUGGAGGAACACCGAUGGCGAAGGCAGCCCCCUGGGCUAACACUGACGCUCAUGCACGAAAGCGUGGGGAGCAAACAGGAUUAGAUACC